UACGUAGGUGGCAAGCGUUAUCCGGGUUUAUUGGGCGUAAAGGGAACGCAGGCGGUCUUUUAAGUCUGAUGUGAAAGCCUUCGGCUUAACCGGAGUAGUGCAUUGGAAACUGGGAGACUUGAGUGCAGAAGAGGAGAGUGGAACUCCAUGUGUAGCGGUGAAAUGCGUAGAUAUAUGGAAGAACACCAGUGGCGAAAGCGGCUCUCUGGUCUGUAACUGACGCUGAGGUUCGAAAGCGUGGGUAGCAAACAGG
rnacentral:rRNA from 1 species